CUGGAUCAAGCUUGUCCGUCGGGACAAGUACAAUUAUUCUGCAGAAAAUAAAUUUAAUCCAACUUUGAUGAACAAAGUAAUUUAUUAUAAACAAAAACAAGAAAACAAAUAUUAAUUUGGCAUGUUUCUGUAUUCUGCUUAUUCAAAUGCAAAACCUUUUUCUUCAACAUGUUUACUUGCAAUCGAUAAUUUUUAACUGGUUCUUUGUCAGGUACUUUUUAACAAGUAAAAGGUAUACUAUUCUCAGAAAACAGUCUUACUGAUCAGAAUCAAUGAUGCGCUUUGUAGAUAAGGUAACUUUACAGGACAGUUCGUCACCUCGAAAGAUUCAGCUCCAAUUGUUUAAGAGACAGUUUGGCACCGUAGGAGACAUAUUUAGUAGACAUGAUUGAUAGAGUUUGACAAGGCAGGAGACAUUUCGGGACCAAGACAAAUCAGUACCUCAUUUUGCUACCUUAUUCUGUUCCUUAUAAUAAAUACCAUACCAGUAAUUUUUUCACAAAAAUAUUUUUUUUAUUUACCAUAAAAUUCACAAAAUCAUAUUUGAUCAUAAGUAGAAAAAAAACAUUACUUGCAAUAUGGUGACCUAUAGUUGUUAAUUUCUGUGUCAUUUGGUCUUUUGCAGAGAGUUGUCUCAUUGGCAAUCAGACCUUAUGAUGGCUUAUCUUCUUUUUAUUGAUUGCAUUUGAAUAAACUUUUUUUUUAACUUAAAAAAAAAUACAAACAGAAUAUAAAUCCAAUGAGUGUACAGGCCUAUCAGAUGGUGCCUCAUGAUUAGAGUCUGAUGAGACUAGCAUUGAUGGAAACUAGAACCUAAUUCCUGUGAUAUGACUAGUUUCGCAGUUGUACUUGAC
rnacentral:lncRNA from 1 species